GUGAAGCCCUAAUCAUUAAUAAUGGUUUUAUGUGAAACUCACAAAAACUAAACAAUCGGAUAUGUAAGAUAAUGUUCUUCCUCCCAACUUUCUACCUCCCGUAUCUCUUCAUCUCCUUCUCUUUCUCACACCUCUUAGACCAAGCAAUGAAUUUCAGUUUUGAUUAAUACCAUUAAGUUCCAAGAACUUUCCGUCUCCCUUGCUUUACUAUUAAAGCUUCAUUCUUAUCAAACCGAUUAACACCCCAAACAACAAAUGGAAUCCUCAACAAAGCUCUGUUUAUCUUCAGUCCUUAGGUUGAAACAUUUUUUCGAAUUGGACCCUCAAUUCGAAAAUGUUUUCCCAUGUGGCUGAUGUUGCCCAAUCAGCCGUCCUCCUUUCAAAUUUUGAUGCUCUCCGAUUUGGUCGUACUUCCCAGUGGCCGCCUCUUCCUCCACUUUUGUGAUUCGCGUUACCUAAAAAACGACGAAGCUAACAGUUACGGGUCGCAAUAAUGUAAAGCAAUGAAGUUCAUCCACCACGGCCAUCAUUUACUCUUCUCCAGUAGAGAAAGGCAAGGUGGUGAACUCAAGAGCGUUGAUAUGCUCCUCCUUGAUGUAAAGACUCGGUGGCCACAAUCAUCUAGAGGUCAAUCAACCUUCAAACUGUCUUCACUCUUCCAACAUAUCUUGCAAGAAGGCUUGGUGUAUGGGUUAAGUGGUUUCAAUGUUGCGAGAAGCAAUCCGAUUUAAGUUUAUCGUGGAAUUCACAGCCACAGCUGAGCCAAGCCCGGAGGAGAGCUUCAGGUUCUGCAAAUACGAAUCUCAUGUCAUUUGCCAGAUAUUGUUGGAGAGAUUAGGGGCAUCAAAACCAUGUAAAACCAAGACACCCAGAGCACUCAACGCCUCAUGGCAGCAAUAAAGCUUGACGGUAGGUAGUUGAUAAUUUCCAGCUUUAAUAAACUGUUGACAUGAUACAUAUAAGUUGGUGGCUUGGUGCUAAGUUUACUUUUGCAUAUUGAGAAUGUUCUUACGUUAUUGUAUAAGUGCAUGUUCACAUAGUAGCACGUUACUUCCGUAAACAUAACAUCAACCUCGGGUCAUGCAUGUUUUGUUAUUUAUUAUAUACGAUUCAGACAGACGUUUAUCAGUUAACUGAUUAAU